rnacentral:rRNA from 1 species
AUUGAACGCUGGCGGCAGGCCUAACACAUGCAAGUCGAGCGGAUGAAGGGAGCUUGCUCCUGGAUUCAGCGGCGGACGGGUGAGUAAUGCCUAGGAAUCUGCCUGGUAGUGGGGGAUAACGUCCGGAAACGGGCGCUAAUACCGCAUACGUCCUGAGGGAGAAAGUGGGGGAUCUUCGGACCUCACGCUAUCAGAUGAGCCUAGGUCGGAUUAGCUAGUUGGUGGGGUAAAGGCCUACCAAGGCGACGAUCCGUAACUGGUCUGAGAGGAUGAUCAGUCACACGGGAAAGGUGAGAGGGGACCCAGGCCGCAGGGGAGGGAGGGGGGGGGAAGUUGGGAACAGGGGGGAAAACCUGGCCCCGCCGUGGCGGGGGUGUGGAGAAGGCUUUCGGUUUGGAAAGACCUUUAAGUGGGAGGGAGGGGCAGAAGUUUAAGGCCUGGCGUUUUUGGGGUUACCAACGGAAGAAGCCCCGGAAAACUGCGA